rnacentral:rRNA from 1 species
CCCGCACAAGCGGUGGAGCAUGUGGUUUAAUUCGAUGCAACGCGAAGAACCUUACCUGGGCUUGACAUCCCGGGAAUCCCUUGGAAACAAGGGAGUGCCCUUCGGGGAACCUGGAGACAGGUGCUGCAUGGCUGUCGUCAGCUCGUGUCGUGAGAUGUUGGGUUAAGUCCCGCAACGAGCGCAACCCUUAUCAUUAGUUGCUACGCAAGGGCACUCUAAUGAGACUGCCGGUGACAAACCGGAGGAAGGUGGGGAUGACGUCAAGUCCUCAUGGCCCUUAUGCGUAGGGCUUCACACGUCAUACAAUGGUCGGUACAGAGGGUUGCCAACCCGCGAGGGGGAGCCAAUCCCAUAAAGCCGAUCGUAGUCCGGAUUGCAGUCUGCAACUCGACUGCAUGAAGUCGGAAUCGCUAGUAAUCGCGGAUCAGCAUGUCGCGGUGAAUACGUUCCCGGGUCUU